rnacentral:rRNA from 1 species
UGGGGAAUUUUGGACAAUGGGGGCAACCCUGAUCCAGCAAUGCCGCGUGUGUGAAGAAGGCCUUCGGGUUGUAAAGCACUUUUGUCCGGGAAGAAAUCGCACCUGAUAAUACCGGGUGUGGAUGACGGUACCGGAAGAAUAAGGACCGGCUAACUACGUUCCAGCAGCCGCGGUAAUACGUAGGGUCCAAGCGUUAAUCGGAAUUACUGGGCGUAAAGCGUGCGCAGGCGGUUGUGCAAGACCGAUGUGAAAUCCCCGGGCUUAACCUGGGAAUUGCAUUGGUGACUGCACGGCUAGAGUGUGUCAGAGGGGGGUAGAAUUCCACGUGUAGCAGUGAAAUGCGUAGAGAUGUGGAGGAAUACCGAUGGCGAAGGCAGCCCCCUGGGAUAACACUGACGCUCAUGCACGAAAGCGUGGGGAGCAAACAGG